UCCCAGGUGGUCCAGUGGUUAGAACUCAGCACUUUCACUGCCAGGACUUGGGUUCAAUCCCUGGUCAGGGAA
rnacentral:tRNA from 1 species